UGGGGAAUAUUGCACAAUGGGCGCAAGCCUGAUGCAGCCAUGCCGCGUGUAUGAAGAAGGCCUUCGGGUUGUAAAGUACUUUCAGCGGGGAGGAAGGCGAUAAGGUUAAUAACCUUGUCGAUUGACGUUACCCGCAGAAGAAGCACCGGCUAACUCCGUGCCAGCAGCCGCGGUAAUACGGAGGGUGCAAGCGUUAAUCCGAAUUACUGGGCGUAAAGCGCACGCAGGCGGUCUGUCAAGUCGGAUGUGAAAUCCCCGGGCUCAACCUGGGAACUGCAUUCGAAACUGGCAGGCUAGAGUCUUGUAGAGGGGGGUAGAAUUCCAGGUGUAGCGGUGAAAUGCGUAGAGAUCUGGAGGAAUACCGGUGGCGAAGGCGGCCCCCUGGACAAAGACUGACGCUCAGGUGCGAAAGCGUGGGGAGCAAACA
rnacentral:rRNA from 1 species